UCCCUGGUGGUCCAGUGGUUAGGACUCGGCACUUUCACUGCCAGGGCCUGGGUUUGAUCCCUGACCAGGAAA
rnacentral:tRNA from 1 species